rnacentral:rRNA from 1 species
GAGUUUGAUCCUGGCUCAGGACGAACGCUGGCGGCGUGCCUAAUACAUGCAAGUCGAACGCUUCUUUCCUCCCGAGUGCUUGCACUCAAUUGGAAAGAGGAGUGGCGGACGGGUGAGUAACACGUGGGUAACCUACCCAUCAGAGGGGGAUAACACUUGGAAACAGGUGCUAAUACCGCAUAACAGUUUAUGCCGCAUGGUAUAAGAGUGAAAGGCGCUUUCGGGUGUCGCUGAUGGAUGGACCCGCGGUGCAUUAGCUAGUUGGUGAGGUAACGGCUCACCAAGGCCACGAUGCAUAGCCGACCUGAGAGGGUGAUCGGCCACACUGGGACUGAGACACGGCCCAAACUCCUACGGGAGGCAGCAGUAGGGAAUCUUCCACAAUGGACGCAAGUCUGAUGGAGCAACGCCGCGUGAGUGAAGAAGGUUUUCGGAUCGUAAAACUCUGUUGUUAGAGAAGAACAAGGACGUUAGUAACUGAACGUCCCCUGACGGUAUCUAACCAGAAAGCCACGGCUAACUACGUGCCAGCAGCCGCGGUAAUACGUAGGUGGCAAGCGUUGUCCGGAUUUACUGGGCGUAAAGGGAGCGUAGGCGGAUUUUUAAGUGGGAUGUGAAAUACCCGGGCUCAACCUGGGAACUGCAUUCGAAACUGGCAGGCUAGAGUCUUGUAGAGGGGGGUAGAAUUCCAGGUGUAGCGGUGAAAUGCGUAGAGAUCUGGAGGAAUACCGGUGGCGAAGGCGGCCCCCUGGACGAAGACUGACGCUCAGGUGCGAAAGCGUGGGGAGCAAACAGGAUUAGAUACCCUGGUAGUCCACGCCGUAAACGAUGUCGACUUGGAGGUUGUGCCCUUGAGGCGUGGCUUCCGGAGCUAACGCGUUAAGUCGACCGCCUGGGGAGUACGGCCGCAAGGUUAAAACUCAAAUGAAUUGACGGGGGCCCGCACAAGCGGUGGAGCAUGUGGUUUAAUUCGAUGCAACGCGAAGAACCUUACCUGGUCUUGACAUCCACAGAACUUUCCAGAGAUGGAUUGGUGCCUUCGGGAACUGUGAGACAGGUGCUGCAUGGCUGUCGUCAGCUCGUGUUGGGAAAUGUUGGGUUAAGUCCCGCAACGAGCGCAACCCUUAUCCUUUGUUGCCAGCGGUCCGGCCGGGAACUCAAAGGAGACUGCCAGUGAUAAACUGGAGGAAGGUGGGGAUGACGUCAAGUCAUCAUGGCCCUUACGACCAGGGCUACACACGUGCUACAAUGGCGCAUACAAAGAGAAGCGACCUCGCGAGAGCAAGCGGACCUCAUAAAGUGCGUCGUAGUCCGGAUUGGAGUCUGCAACUCGACUCCAUGAAGUCGGAAUCGCUAGUAAUCGUGGAUCAGAAUGCCACGGUGAAUACGUUCCCGGGCCUUGUACACACCGCCCGUCACACCAUGGGAGUGGGUUGCAAAAGAAGUAGGUAGCUUAACCUUCGGGAGGGCGCUUACCACUUUGUGAUUCAUGACUGGGGUGAAGUCGUAACAAGGUAACC